rnacentral:rRNA from 1 species
AUAUUGCGCAAUGGGCGGAAGCCUGACGCAGCGACGCCGCGUGGGGGAUGACGGCCUUCGGGUCGUAAACCUCUUUCGCCAGGGACGAAGAGCGAUUGACGGUACCUGGAGAAGCAGCACCGGCCCACUACGUGCCAGCAGCCGCGGUAACACGUAGGGUGCGAGCGUUGUCCGGAAUUAUUGGGCGUAAAGAGCGCGUAGGCGGUGUGUCGCGUCGGCCGUGAAAACUUGGGGCUUAACUCUGAGCGUGCGGUCGAUACGGGCAUCACUUGAGUUCGGCAGGGGAGACUGGAAUUCCUGGUGUAGCGGUGAAAUGCCCAGAUAUCAGGGGGAACACCGGUGGCGAAGGCGGGUCUCUGGGCCGAUACUGACGCUGAGGAGCGAAAGCGUGGGGAGCGAAC